GCCAAUAUUAUUUUCUUCUUUUAUGUCCAGUGUUAACAGUUAAUUUUAAUUAGUCAGUCAGGCAAAAUGCCAUGGUAAGAGUUAUAUAAUAUUGAAUAGGAUUCUACAAGUCCUAUAUUGGCAACUAAUAAACCUAUUUAUUUUGCAUGAUAUUGUAAUUGAAUUUUGUUGUUUAAUUAUCAUUGAUGAUAAAACUUUUGUCCUUUUCUUAGAUCAUCCAGGGAAAAAUCGUAAUGUGAAGGUAAUAACCUUGAUACUUUUCAUUUAUUUUCUGAUAUGUACUGAAAACUCUCUAUGCAACUUUUUUUUAUUAAAUUAUCUUGUUUCAUAGCCUAGUCAAUGUGGUCUUCCAAUGAAAGAUCCUUCCACAAGCCAAGAAUCAGAGAAAGUAGUCAAGACAAAACGAAAAUUAGCUUUUAUGGAAAAAGUUGAUUUACCUGCUGCAGAAAACACUGAUGGUAAUUUUCUUUUUUAUUCUCUAUAUUUACAACUAUGAGGAUAAGUGAAUUUUUCACAAAAUCACACAUAGUAGAAGACGUAUCUUGUAGCCUUCAGGUUUAUUUUUUUUAAUUUUGUGUUUUGAACACCUAAUUUCAAACUGCAUUUUUGUACUUCUUGGCUCUUUUCUUCAUAAAGUUUACAUAAAUCCAAUAUUGCAUGUAUUUGCCAAUUCAAGUUAUCAUAUAUGAACCAAUAUCAUAUCAAAUGUCUCCUGUUUGACUCUAAGAUGCAAAGAUAAAAACAACUGUUAGUGACAAGAGAUUUACUUUCUGUGAGAACAAAAAAAGAUAAGUAUCUUACAAGAUCUGGAAUUAAAGCAGGCAAGGGAGAGAGAUAAAAAUGCUCUGAGAAAAGUAAAGGGA
rnacentral:lncRNA from 1 species